GCGGUUGAGUCUUAUAGGGAAGCCCAUCACUGGAUAGCCCCUUUCCCAUACUCCCCCCCUUCUUACCCCAGCCCACGACUUCCCGUUGGCCCUCGUUAUAAGCCCUGCCCCGCUCUGCGAAGGACAGCCCACUUGUUCCCGUCUCCGCGGUCCCGCUCGCCCUAGCCCCUCCCUUGGACAGCCCCUGGGCUUGUGACCCAGCCAGCACCGCCUCUCCUAGUGGCGACUGGCUGGGAAUGGCUGAGGGGCUACCUACUGUCUGCGUUCUGCCAGGCGGGGGACGGACCGAAGAAAGGGGGCGGGGUUGAGGGGGGCGGGUCUGGACCUGGGGAGUGAAAGCGAAAGCCCGAGCUACUAGCUAGGAGACCAGAGGUCUAGCAACUUGGAGCAGCAUGGCCAAGCUCUGUGGGGUGCGCCUGAGUGGGGAAGCCCGCAAACAGGUGGAUGUCUUCAGGCAAAAUCUUUUCCAGGAGGCUGAGGAAUUUCUCUACAGUUUAUUGCCACAGAAAAUCCUAUACCUGAAUCAGCUCUUGCAAGAGGAUUCCUUCAAUGUGGCUGACCUGACCUCCCUCCGGGCCCCUCUGGACAUCCCCAUCCCAGACCCCCCACCCAAGGAUGAUGAGAUGGAAACAGAUAAGCAGGAGAAGAAAAAAGAAGUCCCUAAGUGUGGAUUUCUCCCUGGGAAUGAGAAGGUCCUUUCCCUGCUUGCCCUGGUUAAGCCAGAAGUCUGGACUCUUAAAGAGAAAUGCAUUCUGGUAAUGACGUGGAUCCAGCACUUGAUCCCCAAGAUUGAAGAUGGAAAUGAUUUUGGAGUAGCAAUCCAGGAAAAGGUGCUGGAGAGGGUGAAUGCGGUCAAGACCAAAGUGGAAGCCUUCCAGACAACCAUUUCCAAGUACUUCUCAGAACGUGGGGAUGCUGUUUCCAAGGCCUCCAAGGAGACCCAUGUAGUGAAUGGAUUACCGGACCUUGGUACAUGAGCGAGAUGAGGCAGCUUAUGAUGAGCUCAGGGCCAUGGUGCUGGACCUGAGGGCCUUCUAUGCUGAGCUUUAUUAUAUCAUCAGCAACAACCUGGAGAAAAUUGUCAACCCAAAGGGUGAAGAGAAGCCAUCUAUGUACUGAGCCCUGGGCUAGAAGGAAAAUAAAUGACCUAAAUACUUAGUGU